rnacentral:rRNA from 1 species
UUAGGAAUAUUGGUCAAUGGACGAGAGUCUGAACCAGCCAAGUAGCGUGCAGGAUGACGGCCCUAUGGGUUGUAAACUGCUUUUGUUUGGGAAUAAUCGACAUUACGUGUAAUGUUUUGCAUGUACCAUUCGAAUAAGGAACGGCUAAUUCAGUGCCAGCAGCCGCGGUAAUCCGGAAGGUCCAGGCGUUAUCCGGAUUUAUUGGGUUUAAAGGGAGUGUAGGCGGUUGGUUAAGCGUGUUGUGAAAUGUAGAUGCUCAACAUCUUACUUGCAGCGCGAACUGGCUGACUUGAGUACACACAACGUAGGCGGAAUUCAUGGUGUAGCGGUGAAAUGCUUAGAUAUCAUGAAGAACUCCGAUGGCGAAGGCAGCUUACGGGAGUGUUGCUGACGCUUAAGCUCGAAGGUGCGGGUAUCGAACAGG